rnacentral:lncRNA from 1 species
UUGAAAGAAAGAAGCACCAUAAAGUCAAGAUUCGGCAAGACCAGGCAAAAUUGGCCUCUUUAAAGUUUUUCUCCAUUCUCGUUACACGACAAUGAGCAAAGAGGGGCAGCUGUAAUAGGUCAAUUUUGGCCUGGGCCCAAAUCACCAAAAUAAAAUAAAAAACCCAAUAAAAAGUCAAAAAUUAAAGCCCAAAUUACCAAACCCAAAACAAGCCCAAUAAACUAAAAACUAACCCUAGCCCAUAAUGUUUUCAAGAAACAGAAAAACAAAACCCUAACAGCAUCCACCACCAGCCACCACCACUCCUCCAACAGCAGCC